CCUACGGGAGGCAGCAGUGAGGAAUAUUGGUCAAUGGGCGCUAGCCUGAACCAGCCAAGUAGCGUGAAGGAUGACUGCCCUAUGGGUUGUAAACUUCUUUUAUAUGGGAAUAAAGUGCAGUAUGUAUACUGCUUUGCAUGUACCUUAUGAAUAAGGAUCGGCUAACUCCGUGCCAGCAGCCGCGGUAAUACGGAGGAUCCGAGCGUUAUCCGGAUUUAUUGGGUUUAAAGGGAGCGUAGGCGGGUUGUUAAGUCAGUUGUGAAAGUUUGCGGCUCAACCGUAAAAUUGCAGUUGAUACUGGCAGCCUUGAGUACAGUAGAGGUAGGCGGAAUUCGUGGUGUAGCGGUGAAAUGCUUAGAUAUCACGAAGAACUCCGAUGGCGAAGGCAGCCUGCUGGACUGUAACUGACGCUGAUGCUCGAAAGUGUGGGUAUCAAACAGGAUUAGAUACCCUGGUAGUC
rnacentral:rRNA from 1 species